ensembl:misc_RNA Metazoa_SRP Metazoan signal recognition particle RNA
GCCAGGCGUGGUAAUGCAUGCCUAUAGUCCCAGACACUCGGGAGGCUGAGAAUGGAGGAUCGCUUGAGUUCAGGAGUUCUGGGCUACAGUGUGCUAUGCCAAUAGGGUGUCCACCCUAAGUUCGGCAUCAAUAUGGUGACCUCCCAGGAGCAGGGGACCACCAGAUUGCCUAAGGAGGGGUGAACUGGCUCAGCUCAGAAACAGAGCAGGUCAAAACUCCCGUGCUGAUCAGUAGUGGGAUCAGGCCUGUGAAUAGCCACUGCAUUCCAGCCUAGGCAACACAGUAAGACCCUACCUCUU